UACAGGGGGGUGCAAACGUUGCUCGGAAUUACUGGGCGUAAAGCGCGCGUAGGCGGCUUUGCAAGUCGGGUGUGAAAUCCCCAGGCUUAACCUGGGAACUGCAUUCGAGACUGCAUUGCUAGAGUAUGGGAGAGGGAAGUGGAAUUUCCGGUGUAGCGGUGAAAUGCGUAGAUAUCGGAAGGAACAUCAGUGGCGAAAGCGACUUCCUGGACCAAUACUGACGCUCAUGUGCGAAAGCGUGGGGAGCAAACAGG
rnacentral:rRNA from 1 species